UACGGGGGGGGCAAGCGUUGUUCGGAAUCACUGGGCUUAAAGGGCGCGUAGGCGGAUACUCAAGUCUGUGGUGAAAUCCUCCGGCUCAACCGGAGAACUGCCAUGGAUACUGGGUGUCUCGAGGGUGGUAGGGGUAUGCGGAACUAUCGGUGGAGCGGUGAAAUGCGUUGAUAUCGAUAGGAACUCCGGUGGCGAAGGCGGCAUACUGGACCACAUCUGACGCUGAGGCGCGAAAGCCAGGGGAGCGAACGGG
rnacentral:rRNA from 1 species